rnacentral:rRNA from 1 species
UACGUAGGGUGCAAGCGUUAAUCGGAAUUACUGGGCGUAAAGCGUGCGCAGGCGGCUUUGCAAGACAGAUGUGAAAUCCCCAGGCUUAACCUGGGAACUGCAUCCGAUACUGGAUGGCUUGAAUCCGGGAGAGGGAUGCAGAAUUCCAGGUGUAGCGGUGAAAUGCGUAGAUAUCUGGAGGAAUACCGGUGGCGAAGGCGGCAUCCUGGACCGGCAUUGACGCUGAGGAGCGAAAGCUAGGGGAGCAAACGGG